GGAGCUUCGCCUUGCAUCAGGAGGGAGAGCAGUGAGGUGGCUCCUCCAAAGGGACAGUCAGAAGACACAACGAGGCCCAAUUAUAGAGCCAGGCCAGAAGCUGUCAUCUCCCCCAUCGAGGGCCUGAGAUCACAGUGCCCAAACGAGAACUUAACUUGUCAUGGAGUGGUGUCGAAAGCCAAAAACAAAACUUUCAGCUUCUGAAAUCCUGGUAUUUUCUACCAUUACUCAAGCACAGAGACCACCUAAAAUAGUCCCACACACACACAGUCCUACUGCUUCACUGUCACAGUGCCAUCACACUGAUAGUGACUGCUGAUGGAGAAGUGGUCAGAAAAAGAGAAACACAUUUCUGCAGACGGAUUACACCCGACAGACGGAAUAACUAUCAAAGAGUCCGAGAUGUAGCUUCAAAGGGCGAAUCCUUCUUUGACGCCGUGAGCUGACCACCCAAUGGAUGGAGACACAUUGUUUUAUGUGUCGUUCCCAGCGCGGACGUGGUGCUUUGUGAUCAACGGGACAGACGGAUAUAAAUUCACGUGGCGACGCCUUCAUGCUGACCCUCGGCCCGGGAGAGAUGGGACGACAGCGCGGCUUGUUUUAUUUCCAUGUUGCUUCGCGCUGACCGUGAGAACUAUUUUUAGUUGUACUUCUGUAAUAACCAUGUAUUUUUAAUGUGGGAAAAGUCUGUCUUGUUUCCUUCUUAGGCAUCUGAUGUACCACAGCCCUACUGUGAGAGAGAGAGACAGGGGGAGAGUGUGUGUGUGUGCGUGUGUGUGUGUAUGUGUGUGUUUGGUAUAUGUAGACCAGAGACUGGAGGUGGACUUCCUCUUUGGAUCGACUCUGUUUUCUUUCGAGAGAGUGACAUUCCUAAGCUGUUUCUCUUUCGGACAGGAAGUGGACCCGGGCCAAAAAUGAUUAAAAGCUGAGGAGAGAACAUCGGCCCUAGCGCAGCAACAGUUCUCCGGGAGUUCGAGGUUUGACACGGAGUCAAACACGUGUGAAAUACUGUUUAAUAAAUUUGAGCAGGGGAAAGAGGGAUCUUGGCUCUCGUUCUGGCAUGUGCUAAGAGACCCCUCAGUCCGUAAUGAGCGCACAUGGAACUCCAAAUAAACACACAAAGCAAGGAGAUAAGAGUCACUUCAACAACACCGAAAAAUGUGCUACGUGGUUUCAGAGUAGCUGCAUGCUGGGAAGCUAACAACGUGUGAACAGUAUUUGUCUUUUUUUAAGUUGUCAGACAUGGGUUUGCUCCAUAAGAGAUAUUUCACUUCAUGCAAACAUGGUUUUUUCAUUUAACCUGCAGCUCUUUGCUUGCUAACUAGGUUAGAAGACCAUGUAGCACAAUUCAUCAUCUCUGAUUCCAGCACUGCCUUUCUGGACAAGAAGAGAGAACUGCAGUCUUCACCCAGUCUAAUGCUAAUGUACAAACAUGGCUAAUCACGUCAUUCCUCACAUGUCUGUAAUGCAGAGCCAAUACAAGUGCAACACAUAUGAAGACUUUUUUUAAAUUUUAUUUUAGUUUCUGAUCAAUAUUUCAGGGAUUUAGACAUUACUUGGAUAGACUGCAGAUUACAGGCAUCUCCUUAGUAAACAUUUAGAAGCUGAACUAGGCACCAAACAGACAACUGUAUGUUCCCUCUAAACAAAUUAGUUAUACUUGUUUUGUUCUAUUGGCGGUCAGAUGCUGCUUAGCUGUAGUGUCUUUUAUUUUUCCACCUUCAUGACUAUUAUCCAUGUUAUAUUCCCAUUCAACAGUGUCUUCCCUCUAAACCUGAAAAUAGAGAGAAGUGAGAGAGGAGGAAAUGAAGCUCAAUUCUGUCUGUAUCCUCAGGGGCACUGACUCCACAAUGCGAUAAAACUACACCUACCUUUCCACCCCCCAGAUAUUCACUUAAAAGGCCCUGUACAAACAAUGAGAUAAAUGCCUUAUCCCCUGUGUUUUGCUGUUCAGCAAACCAGAACAAACACUGAUCUCUCCUGACUCAUGAUGCCACAGGUAAAAUUCUGGAGUGCGGAGAAGAACAUUCACUAUGUCAGUGAAAACAAUGUGCAGCCGAUAGCCUCAGCCAGGGGGUGUCCCGAGCUCACAUUUUUACAUGUGGUACAUUUUAACAGCUGGAUGGAUUCACGGGACAAUUCAGGUCAAAUAACGUUUGCGAAAGAGUGGAGCGGCAGCGGGAUUCAAGCCAGCGACCCCCUGGAAGUAAAUCCAGGGACCUCUUUGCUAUGGAACAUUGCCACCCGAAUGGAAGUGCAUGGAUCUGUCCGUCAUAGGAAAUAAAGCUCUGAUGGUGACGCAGUUCUUCAGCCUGUUGGAAGAUAAAGUAAUUUAUCUCCUUCAGAUCCAGGCUCAGUCCAGGCUGAGCACUUCAUAGUGAGAGGGGAAACAGAUUAGUUAUCAUGAACCAUCAACCAUUGGACACCGGAACAUUGCGUGGAUGAGACGACCGUCAGCACUGCUGGUAGCGACCUGCAACUCAGAGAAGAAGUGUGCCCGACGGUGUCUGGCCAAUCAAAUAUGGCAGACAGGUACUGUAUAUCCUUCCCUACCACCAUCAACACUAACAACACGGGAAAAUUCUGGAAAUCGAAACCGCCGUGGAACAUGAUAUUAAGGACGUGUGUACAAACAGGCAAAUGUCACCGACUGCUACAGUGCUCCUAUCACCGGCUGCGUUUCUAAUAAAGCAAAGUUAUUACUUCCCUUUUUAGACCGGGUUCUCAUGGAGCGAGCACUGCACGAAUGAGUCAGCAAAAUGAUUAAAUAUUUACCACUCCUGGAUGUCUGGCCUCCUCGCAUUCCUUUUGGUGAGGAGGACGGAAGUGAGACGUUGCUGGAGAGGACGGGAGCGUGGCGCGCGGCCACGAAGGACGAUGUUUCCACAGCCUAUCGGCGCGCAGCACCGGCCCCUGCGCUGUAGCUGAGGGCCCAGAGGAGUGGGAGCAAUGAGCAAUAAAUAUUAAUGAUGACGUCGUGUCAGCGUUACGCGAGAGAACGGGAGGAAGGAUGGAUACGCGCUGGCUGCCGCCUUCACGAGCAAAGUCAAUUUUUCAGAAAACAAAAGCAGCCCGACCGACGCCUCGGCUGCCGGUUACGGUAACGGAGUUCAGACGGUCGUGCCGUCAAAAAAUGUAAUUAGGGCUGCUGUCCAAGGAACCUGCUCGGAUGAAAACCGUUUGGACUCACAUCAGCAGCAGAAAUCUGUUCCGAGUUUCGGUUUCACCUCAAUCAAGCACACUAGAGCCUGGUUGGCUAAGUUUCCUGAAUGUGCCCUGUCAACAUAUCCGUCCUUAAUCAUGUGAAUAUUCACUCAUAAUGUGAAUAUCCAUACUUAAUUGUGUGAUUUAUGUUGAUGUUCAAUCAAAAUGUCACCAUUAGGCACACCUGUGCAAGUGUCACUGAAGGGUAAUGAUCGAUGAAAGUACAAUACAUUAAGAUACUUAAAAAUGGAUGUAAGAAACACAAGCACUCUUUGAUUAUUAUGCCCAGCACAACACACAGAGGCAUUAUGAAUGCAUGUUCAAAAUGUAUUCAUUCAAAUGUCUGAAAACAUCCCAGCCUGCAAAGACAGAUAAACAGUCAUUCUGUAAUGGGACAGUAGCUUUCAAUCAGAUGGACAGAGAGGGAAAGAAAAAAGAAAUAAAGAGAGAAAAGGAUGCUGUUACUAGAAUGCAGGUUAAAAGUCAUCUUUCAAAGGCAGUAGGUAAUAGCUCUGUAGACUGUAAAUAAAAUUUUAAAAAACACAAAAAGCAUGACAGCAAGCAAAAUGCACCACUGUCACGAGAGCAUUUUCAUCGACGGACGGGACCUAAGCUGAAAGGUCAGUCGUUAAUGAAAUAAUCUAUCGCCUUGGGAUUGAGAGCGCGCGCUAACGCAGGUGAUCAAUUUCUCGGGCGUUAAAAGGUCUGCAGCAGAGUUUUCCCGGGAAGUCACCUAGUUAAUGCCGGCCUUUUGAACGCGCAGUGGGUUAGUACCGUCGGACAACGAGCAGCAUCGACCCUUCUCCCGCUGUGUCCGGAGUCGCUCGCCACCAUUUAAAAUGUCAUUUCCUUUCACUCCGCUCCGGUUUAAAAAAAACAAAAAAAAAAACAGAUGCAUUAAAAACCGAUGUUUGGAAGAGGGAAGAGAAAGUGUAAUCACGUGACCGAGGCGUUUUUAUUGCACGUGAGAGGAAAUGCAUUGUCAGGGAAUCAUUCUAAUAUAUUUACCGCCAGUGACGGCCACUCCAUCCCGCUAAUGUGUUUGCGUUCCAGCACGGGCGCUGGAUUUCAGCGAGAAAUCCAGGAAGGUCUUGUUUGAAAACAAAAGCUCAGAUUGCAAUUUCGACAGAUGCUACUAAGAGAAGCAAUAAUUAUGCAAAUUUGAAAUGGAAUAAUCACUUCUGCAUACAUUAUUUAUCAGGAUUAUUUUUCUUUUAUGCCGUUAUAAACUGGCUAUGAGGUAAAUAAGAUUGUGUGUUUUUGCAACUUUAAUUAUGCAGUUUUCUAUUGUUUGUUUCAAAAAAAAUAUUUAUAAUUUCAACAUGUCUAUAGGGUAGAACCAUGAUAAUUACUCAUUAAUAUUUCAAGAAAUGUUCAGUAAUGUAAAGAAAAUUCCCCUCAUUUGCAACAGUAUUGUGAUGUGCAAUAGGUAUGGGGUUAAAAAAAAAAAACACAAUAUCUAAAUUUUAGCUUUUACAUUUUUUUUUCUGUUGUGCAAGUACACAUUUAAACACAAUACACAAUGUUCAAGUAAAAUAAGAAAUACUUCCAAAUAACAAACAUAUCAGGGGUUCUUUGAGGUAAUGGUGAUAAUUAAGAAUAAUAUAUUAGAAUUAAUGCAGACCUGCUCAUGACUAUGUAGUAUAAUGAAAUGGAAUUAGAACAUGCAAUUAAAAUCCAAGCAAAUUUGAAUUUCCAUUCUCCCAAUCUCAAAAUUUCCUCUACUGCUUGUUUCUGAUUAUUUCACCAAACACAGCAGGAUGCAUUGCUUCUGGGAGCAGAAUAAUUAAAAGCUGUGAUUUUCCUUCCUCAGGUCUUAUCAGCACAUUUCGGUACACCUGUAUCAACAAUGCAUCAUGAGAUAGUACACUAUCGCUCUGCUUUUGUGUAACUAUUGCAAAAUGAGAGAGAAAAAUACACAGGAUCUCCUCAUUUACUUUGGGUUAUUAUAGCCCGAGAACAUUACGUUUAACCAUCUGCUCUGAUUCGCAAUAGUUUGUUCAGAUUUAUCUGUGUCUGGGCCUCUGGAAAGUCAUUGAUUUCAGUUUGGAAUACCAUUCCAGUUCCUGCUCCUUCCGGUUCAGAGCAUCUUUACACUGGGACAUUUGGGGGGGAGAAAUACUGUAAAAUGUAUCCAGGAGAGGGAUUUUGCUUGCUUGUGCUCACAGGGGUAUGUGAAAGAACAGGAUUACUUCUUAAAGGGAAAGACGUUCUGCAUUCUGACAGUUAGUCUGCCUGUGAUGUUUGGACAGAAAUGAAGCUGGAAUUAUAAGGUAUUGGAGGAAUGUUUUUUCAAGCCAGAAGAAAAAAAAAUGCGUGAGGCGUGGAUUUUGAACAGUUGGGAGUAGUGGCUUAAUUUUUCAUACAGAAUUCCACUGAAGUGAGUAACUUUGGAUCAACUUACAGAGCUCAAGAAGCCAUAAAGCAUGAGUAACACUUGUAUUUAUGAAUAUCAAAUAGACCGUGUCUGCUCCACGUUUGACAGGGAAAGAGAGAAAGGGAGCAAGAGCAAAACAGAACUUUGUAUUUCAUGUGGUUAAAUUUCACACCUGGGUGGCAAAAAUCUGCGCUUAUAAAUGCUUAUAGCAAUUUGCCUCAACUUUUCUUCUUGCACCACCACCAAGGUCCUUCAUGCAUGGACUGUUCCAGUUGAUAAAAUAACAUUUUCUUUGAAAAUGGAAUUCUGGCAACAUAAUACCUAUAAGCAAACCAGAAUUCCACAUAGCUGUUGAUGUGGACAAGUAUGCAUAUAUUUCCAAAGGUUUUUAUGUCAACUUGUGCUUCAACAUAAGAGUAAACAUAAAAAUGUAGGAACCUCACCAAAAUAGCUGUGAUUCUAUGGUAGUUUAAAUUGUAUAGUCCAAACUAUACAUAAAAUAAGCAAUGAUGACAUUUCCGUCCACAGCUAGCUUGGGGCUAUGGUGGGUUAUGAAGAUUGGCCUGCUGCCUCAUCAUAGAGCACUAUGUACUCCAUCAUUGUGAGCUGGUCAUUUUUACCUUUGAUGGGUUCUUUAUAGUCACCUGUCAUUUACGAUAACAAUGUCACUGGAUGAAGCACCAAUUACUUUCCUUUCCUCAGUGGGCUGGUGACUGUAUAAAGGUACUUAUUUGUAAUGCAUCACAACUAAAAGUGACUAUAGUGAACUCUUUCUGCAGAAAUAAAUCUAUAUGGAUAAACCUUGUUGUGCCUGGCUAUUCUGAAGGGAGAAUUUUCUGUGCCCAGCAACACACAUUUUUAAACUGAACUGUUUCAUUAAUAUUUUUGUAUUUUUUUAUUUUUAUUAUUGGUUUAGUCCAGUAUAACCAUGCUCCUUCAGAGAUAAUAAAAACACUGACUUUUGCAAGAA